CAAAGGAAUUGACGGGGGCCCGCACAAGCGGAGGAGCAUGUGGUUAAUUCGAUGAUACGCGAGGAACCUUACCUGGGCUCGAACGUAAGAUGACUGUAGGUGAAAGCUUACAUCUCUUCGGAGCAUUUUACGAGGUGCUGCAUGGUUGUCGUCAGCUCGUGCCGUGAGGUGUCGGGUUAAGUCCCAUAACGAGCGCAACCCCUACCUUUAGUUGCCAUCAGGUUAAGCUGGGGACUCUAAAGGAACUGCCUACGCAAGUAGUGAGGAAGGCGGGGAUGACGUCAAAUCAGCACGGCCCUUACGUCCAGGGCUACACACGUGCUACAAUGGCCGAUACAGAGGGCAGCUACCUGGUGACAGGAUGCAAAUCUCCAAAGUCGGUCUCAGUUCGGAUCGGAGUCUGCAACCCGACUCCGUGAAGUUGGAUUCGCUAGUAAUCGCGCAUCAGCCAUGGCGCGGUGAAUACGUUCCCGGGCCUU
rnacentral:rRNA from 1 species